UACUAAGGGCGCACGGUGGAUGCCUUGGCAGAAACAGGCGAUGAAGGACGUGGCAAGCUGCGAUAAGCUUCGGGAAGCCGCACACAGGCGUUGAUCCGGAGAUUUCCGAAUGGGGAAACCCACCAUGGUGAUCCCAUGGUAUGUCCUACUGAAUACAUAGGUAGGAACAGGCGAACGGAGGGAAGUGAACCAUCUCAGUACCUCCAGGAGUAGAAAGAAACCUCGAUUCCGAGAGUAGUGGCGAGCGAAAUCGGACAUAGCCCAAACCCGUGAUAUUUCGGUAUCUCGGGGGUUGUAGGGCCUGCACUAGUAGAGUUACCAAUCCAGUCGAUAGCUGAAGACCGUUGGAAAGCGGUCCCAAAGAGCGUGACAGGCGCGUAGGCGAAAUUGAUCUGGACUCGAAGCAGGUACCUGAGUAAGGCGGGGCACGAGAAACCCUGCUUGAAUCCACGGGGACCAUCCCGUAAGGCUAAAUACUCGUUUCUGACCGAUAGUGAACCAGUACCGUGAGGGAAAGGCGAAAAGAACCCCUGUGAGGGGAGUGAAAUAGAUCCUGAAACCGUGCACGUACAAGCAGUCGGAGCCCGCUUUGUUGGGUGACGGCGUACCUUUUGUAUAAUGGGUCAGCGACUUAUUCUCAGUAGCGAGGUUAACCAUCUAGGGGAGCCGUAGGGAAACCGAGUCUGAAUAGGGCGUUUAGUUGCUGGGAAUAGACCCGAAACCGGACGAUCUACCCAUGGGCAGGUUGAAGGUGCGGUAACACGCACUGGAGGACCGAACCGGGAUCUGUUGAAAAAGAUUCGGAUGACCUGUGGGUCGGAGUGAAAGGCUAAUCAAGUCCGGAGAUAGCUGGUUCUCCCCGAAAGCUAUUUAGGUAGCGCCUCGUAUAUCACCACCGGGGGUAGAGCACUGUUUCGGCUAGGGGCCCAUCCCGGGUUACCAAACCGAUGCAAACUCCGAAUACCGGUGAGUGCAGUACGGGAGACACACGGCGGGUGCUAACGUCCGUCGUGGAGAGGGAAACAACCCUGACCAACAGCUAAGGUCCCCAAGUCAUGGCUAAGUGGGAAAGGAUGUGAGACUCCCAAAACAACCAGGAUGUUGGCUUAGAAGCAGCCAUCAUUUAAAGAAAGCGUAACAGCUCACUGGUCUAAUUAAGGGGUUUUGCGCCGAAAAUGUAACGGGGCUAAAGCCAUGCACCGAAGCUUUGGGUUCACCGCAAGGUGAGCGGUAGCGGAGCGUUCCGUAGGCCGAUGAAGGAGGAUCCGUGAGGACUUCUGGAGGUAUCGGAAGUGCGAAUGCUGACAUGAGUAACGAUAAAGGGGGUGAGAGACCCCCUCGCCGAAAGACCAAGGGUUCCUGCGCAACGCUAAUCGGCGCA
rnacentral:rRNA from 1 species